rnacentral:rRNA from 1 species
AAUCGGAAUUACUGGGCGUAAAGCGCACGCAGGCGGUCUGUCAAGUCGGAUGUGAAAUCCCCGGGCUCAACCUGGGAACUGCAUUCGAAACUGGCAGGCUUGAGUCUUGUAGAGGGGGGUAGAAUUCCAGGUGUAGCGGUGAAAUGCGUAGAGAUCUGGAGGAAUACCGGUGGCGAAGGCGGCCCCCUGGACAAAGACUGACGCUCAGGUGCGAAAGCGUGGGGAGCAAACAGGAUUAGAUACCCUGGUAGUCCACGCCGUAAACGAUGUCUACUUGGAGGUUGUGCCCUUGAGGCGUGGCUUCCGGAGCUAACGCGUUAAGUAGACCGCCUGGGGAGUACGGCCGCAAGGUUAAAACGCAAAUGAAUUGACGGGGGCCCGCACAAGCGGUGGAGCAUGUGGUUUAAUUCGAUGCAACGCGAAGAACCUUACCUGGUCUUGACAUCCACAGAAG